rnacentral:lncRNA from 1 species
GAUUUUGACAGUAUGCUGUACAUACCAGAUGUUCCAAAAAUAACUACAGACAACAAUAAUGAAUUUCACCGGAGAAUAGCAGUGAUGACUAGAGAACAUCUUGAACGUGAGUACCAGAAAGCACGUGCUGCAAUGAUACAAAGAAAUGAGUACUUGAAGAAACUCUUAAACGUGGAGGAACCAAACUCAAUAAAGGUGACAAACAAGAAACAGAAAAAAAGAUAACAUACAGGAUGUAUCACACAUUAUUCAAAACAAAGACCAGCUGCACCCCAAUCUGAUGACAUUCUGCCUGCUAUACUUUCACCACCACACAUUCAAAAUGCGGGCUAUUCUACUAGUGGCAGAACGUACACUCAA